rnacentral:sRNA from 1 species
GUGGUUGGUUUGUAUGGUCUACCUAGCGAUAUUUCUUGUGACGGUCACAUCUCGCAAAAUCUUUGUACGUGAUUUGUUACGUAGACAAGAUACUGACCUUUCUGAAAGUGAAGAAAGUUUUGAAAGUGUUUUUCGCUAAAAAGACUAGAACAACUUGCAGAUAUCUCUAAAAUACAUAAUACUGAUUUUUUUCCCGUAUCAAUAAUGUUGAAUGUCUCCACCUGUUCAAAAACACAAAACUUGUUCAGGCCAGAUAUGAUGAGAUCACCAAAUGUUGUAUCGAAAUAUAAUAAAACAUGUACAUAAUGUUACGAAUGAUUUUGUCUCGAGGGAAAAUGGAAACCAGUUAUUGAUUCUGUU